CUUAUUUUUUCAAGAUUUUGAUAACUUAUUUCAUUUACUUGGCGUUUUUUUAAUCAUUCAAGUUGGGCGGGGUGGUUAUUAAAACAUUUUUUUUGUGCAUAUUUUAAUAUUGCUUUACACAGGGACUACCAACCUCACAGGGAAGUCUACCAACCUCAAACUCUUGAAUGGUAGUGUGCAAAAUAAAAGCGAAGAAUAGAUAAAUUCACCUCCAAGAUAACGUCCAGCUGUUUGGGAAGCUUUUUAGUGUGAAUUUACUUGAAUGAACUUACCACCUGUCUUUCCCGGCUUGCCCGCCCCAUAGCCACGGGCUCCGAGAAUACCAGCCACUGGACAAAGCGAAGCACAGAAAUGAAAGAAACCACAGGACCAGUGAGGUCUGCAGGAGCGCCCGGACCAGCAUGUUUGCAGAUAGACAGACAGACUUGGAGACGGCGAACAGCCAGAAAUGCACACAG